UGCAAGUCGAACGGUAACAUGAGAGCUUGCUCUUGAUGACGAGUGGCGCACGGGUGCGUAACGCGUAUGCAACCUACCUUUUACUGAGGGAUAGCCCAGAGAAAUUUGGAUUAAUACCUCAUAGUAUCAUAAAUGUUCAUGCAUUAAUGAUUAAAACUUCGGUGGUAAAAGAUGGGCAUGCGUAAGAUUAGCUAGUUGGUAAGGUAACGGCUUACCGAGGCAACGAUCUUUAGGGGGCCUGAGAGGGUGGUCCCCCACACUGGUACUGAGACACGGACCAGACUCCUACGGGAGGCAGCAGUGAGGAAUAUUGGUCAAUGGACGAAAGUCUGAACCGGCCAUGCCGCGUGCAGGAAGACGGCCCUAUGGGUUGUAAACUGCUUUUAUAUAGGAAGAAACUUCUCUACGUGUAGAGAGCUGACGGUACUAUAUGAAUAAGGACCGGCUAACUCCGUGCCAGCAGCCGCGGUAAUACGGAGGGUCCAAGCGUUAUCCGGAUUCAUUGGGUUUAAAGGGUCCGUAGGCGGAUUUUUAAGUCAGUGGUGAAAGCCUGCAGCUCAACUGCAGAACUGCCAUUGAUACUGGAAAUCUUGAGUGUAUUGGAAGUGGGCGGAAUGUGUCAUGUAGCGGUGAAAUGCAUAGAUAUGACACAGAACACCGAUUGCGAAGGCAGCUCACUACACUACAACUGACGCUGAGGGACGAAAGCGUGGGGAGCGAACAGGAUUAGAUACCCUGGUAGUCCACGCCGUAAACGAUGAGCACUAGCUUUUGGAGGUAUUGACCCCUUCAGAGGCGCAGCUAACGCAUUAAGUGCUCCGCCUGGGGAGUACGGUCGCAAGACUAAAACUCAAAGGAAUUGACGGGGGCCCGCACAAGCGGUGGAUUAUGUGGUUUAAUUCGAAGCAACGCGCA
rnacentral:rRNA from 1 species